rnacentral:rRNA from 2 species
GCACGGGUGAGUAAGGUAUAGUUAAUCUGCCCUACACAAGAGGACAACAGUUGGAAACGACUGCUAAUACUCUAUACUCCUGCUUAACACAAGUUGAGUAGGGAAAGUUUUUCGGUGUAGGAUGAGACUAUAUAGUAUCAGCUAGUUGGUAAGGUAAUGGCUUACCAAGGCUAUGACGCUUAACUGGUCUGAGAGGAUGAUCAGUCACACUGGAACUGAGACACGGUCCAGACUCCUACGGGAGGCAGCAGUAGGGAAUAUUGCGCAAUGGGGGAAACCCUGACGCAGCAACGCCGCGUGGAGGAUGACACUUUUCGGAGCGUAAACUCCUUUUCUUAGGGAAGAAUUCUGACGGUACCUAAGGAAUAAGCACCGGCUAACUCCGUGCCAGCAGCCGCGGUAAUACGGAGGGUGCAAGCGUUACUCGGAAUCACUGGGCGUAAAGGGCGCGUAGGCGGAUUAUCAAGUCUCUUGUGAAAUCUAAUGGCUUAACCAUUAAACUGCUUGGGAAACUGAUAGUCUAGAGUGAGGGAGAGGCAGAUGGAAUUGGUGGUGUAGGGGUAAAAUCCGUAGAUAUCACCAAGAAUACCCAUUGCGAAGGCGAUCUGCUGGAACUCAACUGACGCUAAGGCGCGAAAGCGUGGGGAGCAAACAGGAUUAGAUACCCUGGUAGUCCACGCCCUAAACGAUGUACACUAGUUGUUGGGGUGCUAGUCAUCUCAGUAAUGCAGCUAACGCAUUAAGUGUACCGCCUGGGGAGUACGGUCGCAAGAUUAAAACUCAAAGGAAUAGACGGGGACCCGCACAAGCGGUGGAGCAUGUGGUUUAAUUCGAAGAUACGCGAAGAACCUUACCUGGGCUUGAUAUCCUAAGAACCUUUUAGAGAUAAGAGGGUGCUAGCUUGCUAGAACUUAGAGACAGGUGCUGCACGGCUGUCGUCAGCUCGUGUCGUGAGAUGUUGGGUUAAGUCCCGCAACGAGCGCAACCCACGUAUUUAGUUGCUAACGGUUCGGCCGAGCACUCUAAAUAGACUGCCUUCGUAAGGAGGAGGAAGGUGUGGACGACGUCAAGUCAUCAUGGCCCUUAUGCCCAGGGCGACACACGUGCUACAAUGGCAUAUACAAUGAGACGCAAUACCGCGAGGUGGAGCAAAUCUAUAAAAUAUGUCCCAGUUCGGAUUGUUCUCUGCAACUCGAGAGCAUGAAGCCGGAAUCGCUAGUAAUCGUAGAUCAGCCAUGCUACGGUGAAUACGUUCCCGGGUCUUGUACUCACCGCCCGUCACACCAUGGGAGUUGAUUUCACUCGAAGCCGG